rnacentral:misc_RNA from 1 species
AACGCACCUUGCGCCCUUUGGUAUUCCGAAGGGCAUGCCUGUUUGAGUGUCUUUAAAUUCUCAACCUUGGAAAGCUUUUGUUUUCCAUGGCUUGGAUGUGGAGGUUGCGGGCUUUCUAAGUCGGCUCCUCUGAAAUGCAUUAGCUGGGUUUGCGCCUUCAGCCUAUUGGUGUGAUAAUUAUCUACGCCUCUUGGUUGUUAGCGUGUUUUACUUUCCAGCUUCAAAUCGUCCUUCAUUGGACAAUAUUUGACUAUUUGACCUCAAAUCAGGUAGGACUACCCGCUGAACUUAA